AAUGAACGUCGGCGGCGUGGAUUAGGCAUGCAAGUCGUGCGCGAUGUGUAGCAAUACAUUGAAAGCGGCGAAAGGGAGAGUAACGCGUGGAUACCUACCCUGAGGCCCGGGAUAGCUGCGGGAAACUGCAGGUAAUACCGGAUGAUGUCCCUGGACCAAAGGUGUGAUUCCUCCUUAGGAUGGGUCCGCGUCCUAUUAGCUAGUUGGUGAGGUAAUGGCUCACCAAGGCGACGAUGGGUACUGGGUGUGAGAGCACGACCCAGCUCACUGGGACUGAGACACUGCCCAGACACCUACGGGUGGCUGCAGUCGAGAAUCUUCCGCAAUGGGCGAAAGCCUGACGGAGCGACGCCGCGUGUGGGACGAAGGCCUUCGGGUUGUAAACCACUGUCAGUUGGGAGGAAAUAUCUAGGGGUUCUCCCCUAGGUUUGACCGAUCUUCAGAGGAAGUCCGGGCUAAGCUCGUGCCAGCCGCCGCGUAACAC
rnacentral:rRNA from 1 species